UUCAUCUUCAACACCAUCAACCAUGUUCUCUGUCUCUCUGCUGCUACUGGCAGCUGCUUCCUGUGUCCAGGGUCAGGUCACACUCACACAGGCCGAACCGUCGCUCAUGGCAACCCCUGGUGGAUCCAUCAAACUAACAUGUGCCUGCAGUGGAUUCAAUCUGGCAAGCUACAGGAUGCACUGGGUCCGCCAAACUUCUGGAAGAGGACUGGAAUGGAUCUUUCACUACUAUACCAGCAGUGACAAUGGCUGUGCAAGCGCGGUCCAGGGGAGAUUUACAGCCUCUAAAGACACCUCCAAUUUCUAUCUGCACAUGGGCCAGCUGAAGCCAGAGGACUCUGCAGUGUAUUACUGUGCUAGAUACACACAAUAA